rnacentral:lncRNA from 1 species
CCUCGGUGGCAUUGGCAGGCCACCCCCGCAGAGCUGCACAAAGGUGGAAUUUGGCCUUGUUUAGGGAGUGUUGGCCCAGCUGGCUUACCAAAACAGGAAAGGCCUUUGGAUACAGAAACUGGGUGUUUUCCUGCUGGAUCUUCAUGGUUCCCCCGUCAUGCUUGCCGUAAGAAUAAGUGAGGUCCGGGGAGGGGGUAAGGUCGGAGCCAGGACACCUGGACCCAGCCUGCUGGUUUGUCCUCUCCCUCCGUCUCAGAAGCCUCUUCACCGCUCCACGCCCAUCUGUGGAAAUCUUUCAUCCUGAUUUUUUUUUUUGAGUCUGGGUUGCCGACAUCAAAACCCGUUAGGAGUUCAUCACAGCUUCCAGUUGCCAUGAAAGCCUCCCGUGACCUGUGAGAAUGGUGCUGGUGCUGAUGGAGAAGUUACUUGGGCUGAGCACACAGGCCGUGAUUUCAUCACGCCGGGGACAUGCUCAAAAUAACAAGCCAGUGAGCAGCAUCGCACUUGAUCUUUGGCCUCAGUGGAGCCUUGGGUCACACACUGGGCGUCCUGGGACCCAGUCUCCCCGCCGCACGGCGUUUCCCAGGCCCUCUUGUUCUUUUAGAGUUGCACCAUGAGCCUCUCUGCACUCUUCCCAAGGCUGUCCUCCUCAGGUCUGCCUUUCUCUGGUGCUGCGGCCGGUGUGCUCUCCCCUAUUUCCAGGUCUGCUGGGGCGCACAUCAGAGCCAGCAGCCGUUGUUGAUCUCUUUUGAUCCAGGGCAGCCCUAUUGCUGAGAGGGGUUGCUAGCUAAGCAAUUGUUAUAAUUUUCCUUUACAGGGAGGUCACUUAGUAAGGACAAUUUGGCAUCUCAUACUCUUUCGUAAAAAAUUAUUUUUAGUCAGUCACAGUGGCUCAUGCCUGUAAUCCCAGCACUUUGAGAGGCUAAGGUGGGAGGAUCCUCUGAGCCCAGGAGUUUGAGGCUGUAGUGAGCCAUCAUUAUGCCACUGCACCCUAGUCUGGGUGACAGAGCAACACCCUGUCUCUAAAAAUAAAUAUUAUUUUAAAACAUUGUUAAGGCCUGGUGCGGUUGCUCACGCCCAUAAUCCCAGCACUUUGGGAGGCCGAGGCAGGUGGAUCACGAGGUCAGGAGUUCGAGACCAUCCUGGCCACCAUGGUGAAACCCCAUCUCUACUUUAAAAAAAAAAAAAAACCAAGCAUGGUGGCACGCGCCUAUAGUCAGUCCCAGCUACUCAGCAGGCUGAGGCAGGGGAAUCGCUUGAACCCGGGAGGUGGAGGUUG